CGGGCGCCCCCACCCCCAGUCCCGAGCGCGGACCUGAAACGGAGAGGAGAGGUCGGUGCCUCCAACUCGGGGCGGCAGUCGAGAGGCGCGCGUCGUUGCUCUGGGACUCACUGCCAACCAACCCCCAUUCCUCAGGGGCUCGUUCCCUUCCCCAAGGCUCAGGACGUAGAGCCUGGGCGGGGCCCCCUCCCCAGCAGCGGUCAGAGGACCUGCACGAGUCAGACUCCACUUCUGGUGCACCUGGGACCUUGAGUCUUGCUCUGUUGCCCAGGCUGGAGUGCAAUGGUGCAAUCUCAGCCUACUGCAACCUCCACCUCCCAGGUUCAAGCCAUCCUCCUGCCUCAGCCUCCCGAGUAGCUGGGAGCCAUCACACCCAGCUAGCCAUCUUCUAAUUUUCAUUCCUUCAAAGGAAUCAGUGACAUUCAAAGAUGUGUCUGUGGACUUCACCCAGGAAGAAUGGUACCAUGUCGACCCUGCUCAGAGGAGCUUAUACAGGGAUGUGAUGCUGGAGAACUAUAGCCACCUGGUUUCUCUUGGAUAUCAAGUUUCCAAGCCAGAGGUGAUCUUCAAAUUGGAGA
rnacentral:sRNA from 1 species